rnacentral:rRNA from 1 species
CUUUAGACGGUAGGGUAUUGGCCUACCGUGGCUAUGACGGGUAACGGGGAAUUAGGGUUCGAUUCCGGAGAGGGAGCCUGAGAAACGGCUACCACAUCUAAGGAAGGCAGCAGGCGCGCAAAUUACCCAAUCCUAAUACAGGGAGGUAGUGACAAGAAAUAACAAUACAGAACCUUACGGUUUUGUAAUUGGAAUGAGUUAAGUAUAAACCCCUUAACAAGUAUCAAUUGGAGGGCAAGUCUGGUGCCAGCAGCCGCGGUAAUUCCAGCUCCAAUAGCGUAUAUUAAAGUUGUUGCAGUUAAAAAGCUCGUAGUUAAUCUUCUGUUAAUUUUUAUAUAUAAUAUCUCGAUAUUUAUAUAAUAUUAACAUAAUUCAUAUUACUUUUUAGUAUAUGAAACUUUACUUUGAGAAAAUUAGAGUGCUUAAAGCAGGCUAUUGCCUUGAAUACUCCAGCAUGGAAUAAUAUUAAGGAUUUUUAUUCUUCUUAUUGGUUCUAGAAUAAAAAUGAUGAUUAAUAGGAACAGUUGGGGGCAUUUGUAUUUAACAGUCAGAGGUGAAAUUCUUAG